UGAGCAAUCUGCCCUUCACAUCGGAAUAACCAUUGGAAACGAUGGCUAAUACCGAAUAUGACUUCUGAUCGCAUGAUCUGAAGUGGAAAGCUCCGGCGGUGAAGGAUGAGCUCGCGGCCUAUCAGCUUGUUGGUGAGGUAAUAGCUCACCAAGGCGAUGACGGGUAGCCGGCCUGAGAGGGUGACCGGCCACACUGGGACUGAGACCGAGGCCCA
rnacentral:rRNA from 1 species